CAAUCAUAUUACUGGGCCGAGGGAGAACCGCCAAUUUUGGCUGUAGAAAAAUGCAAGGGCGGUAUGUAACUAUCACCAUCCCAGGCAUUCGUAUCCUCUCAUUGUGUGAAGUUCAAGUGUUUGGUGAAAAGCUACCUUCCUCGGGAGAUGAAGAGGGGACCGCAUCUGGAAUGGAAGAAGCAUAAGAUUAUGUUUUAUGGGACAGCAGAAAUUGUGAAACCAAGAGCCCCUAGAUUUGUGGAAAGACAUCACAAAUUAUCAUUAAUCAGUGGUAACAAGGAGGAACCUGGCUGGCUGUCUAGAAGAACCUGCACCCAGAGGGACAUCAACACCUUCCAUGACUGCUAAAAUCCCAAAUAAACAGUAGAACUUGCAACUC